UACGGAGGGUGCAAGCGUUAAUCGGAAUUACGUGGCGUAAAGCGCGCGUAGGCGGUUUGAUAAGUCGAUUGUGAAAUCCCCGGGCUCAACCUGGGAAUUGCAGUCGAGACUGUCAGACUAGAGUGCGGUAGAGGAGAGUGGAAUUCCCGGUGUAGCAGUGAAAUGCGUAGAGAUCGGGAGGAACAUCAGUUGCGAAGGCGGCUCUCUGGACCAGCACUGACACUGAGGCACGAAAGCGUGGGGAGCAAACAGG
rnacentral:rRNA from 1 species